CCUACGGGUGGCAGCAGUGGGGAAUAUUGGACAAUGGGCGAAAGCCUGAUCCAGCCAUGCCGCGUGUGUGAAGAAGGCCUUCGGGUUGUAAAGCACUUUCAGUGGGGAAGAAAGCCUUGGGGCUAAUACCCUCGAGGAAGGACAUCACUCACAGAAGAAGCACCGGCUAACUCCGUGCCAGCAGCCGCGGUAAUACGGAGGGUGCGAGCGUUAAUCGGAAUUACUGGGCGUAAAGCGCGCGUAGGCGGUCUGAUAAGCCGGUUGUGAAAGCCCCGGGCUCAACCUGGGAACGGCAUCCGGAACUGUCAGGCUAGAGUGCAGGAGAGGAAGGUAGAAUUCCCGGUGUAGCGGUGAAAUGCGUAGAGAUCGGGAGGAAUACCAGUGGCGAAGGCGGCCUUCUGGACUGACACUGACGCUGAGGUGCGAAAGCGUGGGUAGCAAACAGGAUUAGAUACCCCUGUAGUC
rnacentral:rRNA from 1 species